GCCCUGCAUUCUGUCAAGCUUUCAACGAAAGAAGCCAAGCGAGGAAAAGAAGGAAGAUUUCAUUCAUAGAUGCUCCUUUCUACAUACGAAAUUCCCAAGACUAUUUACAGAAAACUAAAGGAAAAAGACUAUUUACAGAAGACUAUUUACAGGUCAGUAGAGGCUGGAAGAAGAGAAGAGGGAAACCAACACAAGAAAGGGAGGAAAGCUCACAACGUAUAGUUUGCUGGUUCGGAGGUUAGGUAAUACAGAAAACAAGAAGGUAAGGAAGCCCCAAUCUUUCACUCUGUUCUCUCCCUCUCAAGAUGAAGACGAUGCCCUAGUUUAUCAUCUUCAGAUUGUAGGCUCAAUCUUUCACUCACUUCAGUAUUUGCGAUCUGUUAUUCCAUCGUUCAAUCUCUCGGGCCAUAUAUCAAUUACCAGAUAUAUAUAAUCAACGGAGAAGACGACGUGUCCUUUACCUUGGUGCCGACGGUGGCCUGCUCCUCGCCGGCUCAUGAUUCUUGUCUAGAGCUUCGACGAGUUCAUGGUAGAGGGCUCCGCUGACGGCCGUGGCCCACUCCUCGCAGACGCAUGAUCUUCUACAGAGCUUCAGCUAUUCCAUUGCAGAGAGCUCUGUCGACUCAAGAUCAUUCGAAUCCGACGAGGCCGACUCUAGAUCCGCCGCCCGCCUUCAAUUCCAUUGACCCAUAGAGCCCCAUAGUCGCCGAUGAGAUAAGUGCGGCAAUGGUGAAUGGAUAUUGUUGCCGUUGUCGCUGCAUAUUGCUGGCCACCAUAACGUCGCUACCACUAAUUGCCGCUAAGCUAUGCUCUCUCUCUCUCGCAGAGGUGACUGCAACAGCUAACUGGCGAUUUCAAACUCUGGCAAGUCACAAAAAAAUCCGGCCAACAGAAUCCUCAUCUCCGUUCCAAAAUCAAAGCUCUUAUCUUCAACGGUAUUAAUUUUCAAUGAUUUCGUCGGUGAGGACAAUUUGCAGAUCGUUGUCGAAAAGGACGCGUCGUCUUCUCCGUUGAUUAUAUAUAUGUGUAUAUACAAAUUAUUGAGAGAUAAAUAAAUAAAUAAAUAAAUCUAAGAAUAUAGAGGUUAAAAAGGUAAUUUCAAUAUUCACAUGGGUCAAUAUAAAAGUUAAAGGGCAAAAAUGUCAAUUCAUUACCAUUGGGGUGUCUUUGGUUACUAUAUCAAACUUGAGGGGGUGUCUUUGUUCCAAAAUAGGCUAAGUUUCAUCUGCCUGUCCUUCCCCCAAACCUCAGGGGGUGUCUAUGUACUUUACCCUGAAUACUUUAUGAACAUCUAUUAGUAUAUUUAUAUAGGCCUUAAAGAUUUUAGGAUUAAUAUAUAUGAGGGUGAGAUCUAUCUGAUCUUUUGCAAAACAUAAAUUUGAUCUCACGAAGUUUUAUGGUCGGAGUUGUUUUUGUUGUGUCUAGUGAGCUUUGCGUGCAUAUCUUUGUAUGAUCUAUUUUAAAAUAACAUUAUGACAUUUUUUUUU